CUCGUAGGCGGCCAACUAAGUCAUACGUGAAAUCCCUCAGCUUAACUGGGGAACUGCGUGUGAUACUGGAUGGCUUGGAUUUGGGAGAGGGAUGCGGAAUUCCAGGUGUAGCGGUGAAAUGCGUAGAUAUCUGGAGGAACACCGGUGGCGAAGGCGGCAUCCUGGACCAAUAUUGACGCUGAGGAGCGAAAAGCCAGGGGAGCAAACG
rnacentral:rRNA from 1 species